CUAAAUUGACCUUGAGGUGAGUAUGUUCUAUCAAAAGACCAAUUAUCACUUGGUUAUUUCUGAUGUACCAUCCUGGUGAAGACUGGCUGGCUGCUGACGUCACAUUUAUGCACCACUUCUUGCUUUUGGAUGCUUAUCAUGUAACUGCAACAUCCAGAGCUUGAAUCUGACCAGGGAGCUUUAUCUAAAUAUUUCCCUCCUCUCUCUGCUGUUACCAAAAAUGUAAAAAAAUAAUAAUAAUAAUAAUCACAACAUGACUGUAAUUCGUGAUAAACUCCAACUGUGAAACCAAAUACAAAGCUGAAUUUGUCAUCACCUUGAUUAAAACCCAGGGCUCCUGUGAGUCUGCUGCCCCACCGAGUGAGAUAAGCACCAGUAUGACUGCCAGAGAAACCUCCACUGUACUGUAGGUACUGUGUCUGUGUAACCCCUGUGGCUUUCUGUGUGCAGUUGUCUCUUUUUAAGACCAAAGGAAUGACAGCCUGACCUUACCAAACCCUACAAGCUGACAAAAUGAUUUAUAGUAGCUGCUGAUGAGUGAAUUUGGCAGUUUUCCCCCCAACUGUAUAAAUACCUUCAGACAACCUCCACUCUUCAGUCGAGUACUGUCUGGAACGGUAACAAAUCCAACAGCUUUCUCUUUGAAUCAGGGCAUUUAUAUGACGAGGACAUAUCAACAGAGAGCACACAGUUUGCAAUACAUUAGAUUUCUGCUGAUCAGCAGUGGUGACAGAGAGAGGUGAUGUUUACUCUGCAUUUCUCUCUCUCUCUUUUUCACUGUAGGUUUCUACAUCUCUCUGAUAUGAAUACAUUUAAAGGAUCAGUUCACACAAAUGACAAAAAACUUUGAGCUGCGGCAGAAGUUCCAUUCAACUGAGCUAUCUCCAUGGCAACUGAGCAAACUCCCAUCCACUGAGGACGACUAUGGAAUGUGGUUGAAAGCUCUGGAAAAAACUGGUUCACCUUCUACCUCCAUAUGUGUGAUCUAAAGCACCGGCCAUGAUGUCUCUGUGUUCAGCACAGAAGCCUAUCGGCUGUUGCAGUGGACACGUGCUAUCGCUGCCAGUUGCCCAAAGUUUUUAUCUGCAAAGUUCCAGCCCAAAAGAUUUCAAUUGAAAGCAGUAAUUCAGCUGGGAUGAAAAUGACGGCAGCAGAAGACACUGCCAGCUCUGCCACCUCGUUGCGGUGCCGAAGUUUGGAAGACUGGCGAGGGGAAUGAGACUCUCUGAUGUCAUCCAUGACCCAGGUCAUCUCUAAACCCAGAGCAGAGCUGUAAUGGCCUCCUCCACAGGCACUGCGCUGUGGCCAGGAGGACUGGCUGUGACUCAAAUUAAGGAACCAUAAAAGGCCCAUAAAUUUGUAGGGAAUCCGCUGAGAAUGGUAUGAAAAGGGGACAGACACAAAGAGUAGCAGCUAAGUUGUGUCCUCUUGGAGUCAUAAAUGUGUGUUCUGCGGCCAUUUGCAACGCCAAGACACAGCUGUGCUCUGUAUAAACCAUAAUCAGAUUAAAAUUCUUCUUUUAAAAUACAAUUUAAAACACAACAGCAAUGAACAAUGUACAUCUACCAUACCAGUAGAUUCAUGAGGCUUCACUCAGUCUCCCUUUUUAAAUUAAAUAAAUGGCGGUUUCAUAUCCUCACAACCCCAACCAACUAUGACUAUACUCCCACACUCUGUAAUGAAGGUAAUGUUCCCAUAAUUGCCCUGAAUCUUAGCACUGGUGUGGUCACCAUGGCAACACAAUUAAAUGUGUUGCAGAACAAGACAAACUCUUUCAACAAAGGGAUGUCUUUACAAAUUUACAACAUUUAAAGAAUACAUUAAAUAUUUGUUUCUUCUUGUAAUUAGUCUAAUUUGUUUAUCCUGCUUUGACUUUGAGGAGAGGUAUUUGUAUCGACAGUGUUACGUAAAUAUAAAGCCACAACUCAGUGGAAACACUCAACAGGAUGAAAAUAGAGAAGUUAGAAAGCUAAAUUGGAAACUUGCAUAAAAGCUAACUCUGUAACCACCGAUUCUUCAUUUAUCCAGAUCUUCCCACUUUUAAUUUACAUUUAACUUUUGCAAUUUAAUUGAUGCAUAAUUUAGUAUUGCAAAGUUGCCAGUUUAUUAGGUACACCUUGCUAAAGCUAAUGCAGUCUAAUACAACAGCCCUGCAAUAAAUCCUACCUUCGUAAAGGUUGUAAUGUUUAGUUUUUGUUGAAAUUGUUGCGUUUUUGACUUGUAAUGCGUUAGACUGAGAGGUGUUUCUAAUAUUUUGACUCCUCCGUUUAUAUUAAUGACGGUAGACUAGAUAUUAGACUGAAUUUAGUUUUAGCCAGGUGUACCUAAUAAACUGAGUGUAUGUGUUUAGUGUUGCCAAGGGACUGCAGAUGUAAAUGUCAAUUCAAUUUAAAAUACUUUAUUCGUCCCUCAAGGGGCAAUUUGGAAUGGAUAGAUAUAUAAAUGUGUGUAUAUAAUGUAUGUUGGUGAAUAAAGCAUAGAUUCUACACUGCUGUAUGUAACAGUGACUGUAAUGCUCAAUUAAACAAACAAUUAACUGUAACAUGACUAAUGCCUGUCUAUUCAGAAGCACUGCAUUUUAGAACUACAAGCAAUCAUUCCUACUCGACAUUAGUUUGA